ACACCGAUGGUGAAACGGUUAUCAUGCUUGCCUUCCAUGUAAUAUCUCCCUAGCAAGCGGUAGGGGUUCGACUCCCCUUCGGCGUA